rnacentral:rRNA from 1 species
AACGAACGCUGGCGGCAUGCCUAACACAUGCAAGUCGAACGAACCCUUCGGGGUUAGUGGCGCACGGGUGCGUAACGCGUGGGAAUCUGCCCUUUGCUUCGGAAUAACAGUUAGAAAUGACUGCUAAUACCGGAUGAUGUCUUCGGACCAAAGAUUUAUCGGCAAAGGAUGAGCCCGCGUAGGAUUAGGUAGUUGGUGGGGUAAAGGCCUACCAAGCCGACGAUCCUUAGCUGGUCUGAGAGGAUGAUCAGCCACACUGGGACUGAGACACGGCCCAGACUCCUACGGGAGGCAGCAGUGGGGAAUAUUGGACAAUGGGCGCAAGCCUGAUCCAGCAAUGCCGCGUGAGUGAUGAAGGCCUUCGGGUCGUAAAGCUCUUUUACCAGGGAUGAUA